rnacentral:sRNA from 1 species
AACAAUUCAUAUGUGGCUCCUCCAUCUUUUAUUCUUAAUGGAAUACCUGGUCUGGAAAGAGUACAUGUAUGGAUCUCCCUCCCACUCUGCACAAUGUACAUCAUCUCCCUUGUGGGGAAUCUUGGUCUUGUGUACCUCAUUUAUUAUGAGGAGUCCUUACAUCGUCCAGUGUAUUUCUUUUUGGCCAUGCUCUCCCUCAUUGACCUCAUUACCUGCACCACCACUCUAUCCAAUGCACUCUGCAUCUUCUGGUUCACUCUCAAAGAAAUUAACUUCAAUGCUUGCUUGGCCCAGAUGUUCUUUGUUCAUGGGUUCACAGGUGUGGAGACUGGGGUGCUCAUGCUCAUGGCUCUAGACUGCUAUGUAGCCAUUUGCUACCUUUUGCGUUAUGCUACCAUACUCACCAAACCUAUCAUUGCCAAGGCUGGGCUUGCCUCCUUCCUGAGGGGUGUAUUGCUGAUGAUUCCUUUCCCAUUCUUGGUUAAGCGUUUGCCUUUCUGCCAAAGCAAUAUCAUCUCCCAUACGUACUGCGACCACAUGUCUGUAGUAAAGCUAUCUUGUGCCAGCAUCAAGGUCAAUGUAAUCUAUGGUCUAACGGUUGCUCUCCUGAUUGGAGUGUUUGACAUUUGUUGUAUAUCUUUGUCUUACACUUUGAUCCUCAAGGCAGUGAUCAGCCUCUCUUCAUCAGAUGCUUGGCAGAAGGCUUUCAGCACCUGCACUGCCCAUGUAUCUGCCAUCAUCAUCACCUAUGUUCCAGCAUUCUUCACUUUCUUUACCCACCGUUUUGGGGGGCACACAAUUCCCCCUUCUCUUCACAUCAUUGUGGCUAAUCUUUAUCUUCUUCUUCCCCCAACACUAAACCCUACUGUUUAUGGAGUAAAGACAAAACAGAUACAAUAGAGUGUCAUAAAGUUCUUCC